rnacentral:tRNA from 1 species
GGGCCGAUAGUCUAUCGGUUAGGAUAUUGCCCUUACAAGGCAGAGAGCCCAGUUCAAUUCUGGGUCGGCCCA